GGCCGCAUCACGUUGAAACACCGGUUCCCGUACGAUCAUCGAAUUUAAGCAACAUCGCGACUGGUCAAUACCUAGAUAGUUGACUGCUUGGGAACAGCAGGUGUUGCAAG